rnacentral:lncRNA from 1 species
CGGGCGGGUCUGAGGUAGUGGAGGCUCCAUCUUCUCCUCCUCCGCCCUCAAAAGUAAACUUUGCCACUCUGCUCGCGGGGUCCUCAGUUCUCCUCGCAGUGCCUCCGGGCGGCGGGGGCCGGCGUCAGGGCCUGUCUGCCUCCCCGGGCGUGGGGCCUUGGGCGCCAUGGACGCGUCGGCGCUGGAGCGGGACGCCGUGCAGUUCGCGCGGCUGGCAGUGCAGCGCGACCACGAAGGCCGCUACUCUGAGGCGGUGUUUUACUACAAGGACUCAGUUAAACAACUUCUGUUCAAAAACUGGCCUACAAAAUGACGCUCAGUGGUAGCUGCUUUGGAAACAGCAUGAGGCCUGUGAGGUGUAGCACACAUUCAGCUCCUGCAGAGAGGGGCUGUCACUUGCA